AGGGCACCACCAGGAGUGGAGCCUGCGGCUUAAUUUGACUCAACACGGGAAAACUUACCCGGCCCGGACACUGGAAGGAUUGACAGAUUGAGAGCUCUUUCUUGAUUCAGUGGGUGGUGGUGCAUGGCCGUUCUUAGUUGGUGGAGCGAUUUGUCUGGUUAAUUCCGAUAACGAACGAGACUCUAGCCUACUAAAUAGACUGUUCAGCUUUAUAGCCGGAAUCACCGGGCAUGUAGCUCUCACGGGUUGCAUGUUCGGCUCUGGUGACGUUGGCAGUGCUUCUUAGAGGGACAGGCGGCGGUUCAGCCGCACGAAACAGAGCAAUAACAGGUCUGUGAUGCCCUUAGAUGUCCGGGGCUGCACGCGCGCUACACUGAAGUGAUCAGCGUGCAAUUUACGUUUGGUGAUCUGUCAAGAUUGCCCAACCCGUUGAACCUUCUUCGUGAUUGGGAUAGGGGAUUGUAAUUAUUCCCCUUGAACGAGGAAUUCCCAGUAAGCGCAAGUCAUAAGCUUGCGUAG
rnacentral:rRNA from 1 species